rnacentral:rRNA from 1 species
UACAGAGGUCCCAAGCGUUGUUCGGAUUCACUGGGCGUAAAGGGUGCGUAGGUGGUUGGGUAAGUCUGAUGUGAAAUCUCCGGGCUCAACCCGGAAAUGGCAUUGGAUACUACUUGACUAGAGGGUUGGAGGGGGGACUGGAAUACUUGGUGUAGCAGUGAAAUGCGUAGAUAUCAAGUGGAACACCAGUGGCGAAGGCGAGUCCCUGGACAACUCCUGACACUGAGGCACGAAAGCUAGGGGAGCAAACAGG